rnacentral:rRNA from 1 species
AGUAAUGUCUGGGAAACGGCCUGAUGGAGGGGGGUAACUACUGGAAACGGUAGCUAAUACCGCAUAACGUCGCAAGACCAAAGUGGGGGGACCUUCGGGGCCUCAUGCCAUCAGAUGUGCCCAGAUGGGAUUAGCUAGUAGGUGGGGUAACGGCUCACCUAGGCGACGAUCCCUAGCUGGUCUGAGAGGAUGGCCAGCCACACUGGAACUGAGACACGGUCCAG